AGGAACAACUCCAGUUGGUGGUUAGGUGAAGACUCAGGAAAGAGUAUAUUGCUAGAGAGGUUUGGAGAUGACCACCAGGGAGAAAUGCCAGCCUAGGAGUGGGCCUCAUUUCAGCCCCCCAAACACCCAUGUCCCCCAAAGCUGUGCUUACACAGGUUGUUACUGACAUCUGCCCUGUGGGGUGGGGCCCAGCAAAGGAGGAGAGCUGGGCUUGAAAGCAGCCUUGAGCUUCUUGACUCCUCUUGGGCUAUGGGAGGAUAGGAUACAGCUGGUCCAGUUGACAUAUAGUGCAAAACCCACACAGGGUGCCAAGGGUGGCGGCAGGCAGCUCUUCUGGGAUGGCCAUUCCCAGGGCCAGGCCUCAGAGAUGGGCUGUGGAGGAGGGGGCAGAGUCCCUUUGCCCCAUGAAGCCUGGCUAGAAAUGGGACGUUGGGGAGGCACAGUAUUAGACAGUGGCACAGGCCUGCUCACUCAAAGGUCUCCCACUGUCUGCGGAGCUGCUCCACGGAGGUGGAGGCUGGGGCCAGGGCCGGGGCUGGGCUUGGGCUCACAUCUUGCUUGGUUUUUCGCAGCAAAUCCUCAAAGGGGUCUCUGGCCUGUGUAGGAACAGAGGGCUGCGGGGUUGGCUGUAGGCUCUGGGGCGGUCUGGGAGGCAACAGUGGGGAUUCACCAGGCCUCAGGGCCAACCCCUGCUUGGCCUCAGCAGCCCUGGCACUUGAGCGGGCCAGAGGCAAUGUUCGGAUCCUGGAGGGGGCAACGGCUGGGGGGCCAAGUGGCUGCAGGGGACUAGUGUGGGCACCCAUUGGGAUCUGGCCAAAGAGGUUGGGCAUGGAGAGAGCAGAGAGGUUGGGCUGAGACCUGUGAGGGGCAUAGAAGCCAGAACUAGACAAUAGAAUGCUAGGUGCAUAUGCUGGCCCUAGGGAUGCUGGAGGGGUCCCAAAAGGCCUGGCUGGUGUAGAGCUCAGGGGCAUGGAGGGUGGUACUACUGGCACAGAUGGGACAAAGGGAUUGAGUGGUGUCUGUACAAAAGGGGUGGGUGUCACUGUUGGGGGGAAGCUGAGCUGAGGGAUGAAUGGGGUGGCUGCACUGGGGGUAGCAGGAUGUGAUGGGAUGGUGCUGCCUGACCAGGCUGUGUUAAGUGGAUCCAGGAGAGCGAGCAGGGCAUCGCUGCCUGUGCCUGCAGCUCCUGGGGCUGGGCUGGGUGGCUGCAGAAGUUCUGUGGGACCUUGGGGGACAGCUCUGGGGAGCAGCCCUGACAGGAGGGCUGGACUCAGAGCGGCUUGUCUUUCCCGGUCCAUCUGCAGUGGCUCUGAAGAGAAGUCACCAAGUGGGCCGCCAGCAGCCUGGAGCUUGGCUGGCCGGGCAGUGGGUGGUGGAGGCACGAUGCCCAGCUCAGGGGUCUUUCUGCCUUGUGGCCUGGGAAUGGUGAUGCUGCCCGGAGUUGGGAUGGGAGUCUCCUCCUUGAUGCUGGGGCUCAGGAUGCCCUCCUGGUUCUGGGGUCUGAGAGGCAGGGCUGGGGAAGUACCAAGCAGAGCUGAGGGCUUCUCAGGGGAGGUUAUGGAGGGCUUGCUGGGGAUGGCCAUGUCGUCCUGACCCAGACUCCAGAGCUUAGUAUAUGGAUGAGCAAGCUUCAAGGCUGCAGCCAUGCUAAGGCCCCUCUCACUUCUGCACAGGUCCAGUCUCUGUGGGGAAGGAGGGAGGAAGUGAUGACCACUGGUUAGCCCAGGCAACCCUUCCUGCAUGCCAAGCACAUUGCUCCUGGGACUGGGAGGAGUUGCAGGUACCCAAGACACCUGCAGAGAUCCAAGCCCUACUGUGUUCCACAAAAGGAAUACAAAGGAAUCUCCUGUCUUUUUACAAAUGCCUAUGCUUGCCAAGCAGUUUCAGGAAAAUGUUUCCAUCUGUGGGCCACCUAACAAUGGCUUGAGCCUUUUUGCUGUUCAGAGAUUGUGGUGUCUUUGAUUACCCUCAAAGGGGCAAGUGUAACUCUAGGCCUGGCUGAAGGGACAGGAGCCAGAGAAGAGAUUGUAUUUGAGUCCUGACCAUGCCUCCAUUUGACCUGGGCUAGACUAGAGCUGCUUCAUUCCCAGAAGGUGGGAUAAUCUAUGAAUCCCAGAGAGGGGAGCUGACUGAUAGUCGCACUGGGAGAACCAAUCCAUAACCCAGGAGUUUGAUCCAAGGAGCCUGGUGGGCUUGGACAAGCCUUGCAGCAGCCAACUAUCAGAUAAGAAUGGAGGCAGGCAGACACCCCCUGCUGUGCUAGCAUGAUAGAUAGCUCCCCGUGAUAGCUGGUAACAGUGUACUGCUCCAAAUUGGGUGGGGUUGGAGUACUAACACAGGGGUGGGGAUGUGAUGUCCUAUCUCCCUGGCCCCUUCCACUGUGACUAGGAGGACCUUGCUCAUUAGGAGACACCCCAUCAACUACUGUUCCCUACUCCCAUCAUACCUGGUAAUCAAAGCUCCCUGGCUGUUCCCGCAAGUCUUUGGGGGCCCGGAGAUCCUCCAGGCUCUUGGCUUGGCCCAGCGGCUGCAGUGGUGCCUCCACGUCUAGGCUGCUGAAGACAUCUUCUAGAAGGUCAAUGCUGGCAGCUCGGUCAGGUGGAGCAGGGGUAGGUCCCCAGGGUUCUCGAACUAGCUGCUCUGGACUCUCGGUCUCAUCACCUUCUGCGCUGUCUGAUUCUUUCAAUGUCCGGUAUGGCUGUGGCCUAGGAGGAGACAAAGCCAGCUGGAUUUUCUUCUAGGGAAUCUGUGGGAGGAGCAAGUGGCUCUAGCCCUUGCGACACCAAGCCCCAGGACCAAUGUUUUGUGGUGCUCCUGGGGCCGGAUUGGGUUCUUUAGUAUGAUUGGUGCCUUGGACGGGAUGCUCCAACUCUCACUUUCUCUGAGGAGAUGGUGAAGCGCCCUAGGGCCCAAGGUCUAUAACAUACAGCCCAGGUAGGAGUGGAGGGACAUAGCAGGCAGAUGCAUGCAUUCCUUUGUCCCACCUGCUUCCUGAGUAGUGGCCAACCUUAGCUUUAGAGUCAGGUCCAGAGCAUGAACCAGGAGCCCUAGCAUCUCUAGCGAAACUUCUAGGCCUUAGCUUAUAUGAUUUAUGUUUGAGCCCUGGUUCCAUACCUUGCCAGGGGAACCUGGCUGAGUCAGUUAACCUUUGUAAAUCUCAGCUGCUCAAGUGGUGGUGUGGUUCCAUAAACAAGCGCAGAGGGUAGGCUGAGGCUGGAGCAAAGCACCAGCCAGCAGCCCACCCUCUGUGAGCUCUGUGUAGCCACACAACUUUUUGGGAGAGCUGGGGUAAGUAACAGCUGACUCGUUUUGCUUUCCCACUGAGUUUUAGGGCACCACUGAUCUGCGGGAGGCAGCACCAGCCCUGACCUCUGGUGAAGGCUGGCCAGUGCAAUGAAUGCCUCCCUUUUAGGGUCAGGCUGGCUGUGCACAUGGUGUUGGUGAAGUGGACUGAGGGCUCCACCUGCUGGUCACAAGCAGGCUGACACCAAAGGUCCACUGAAAGAGGAGGAAGUCCCAACUCCAUUCAUCAGACUUUUCUGUUUAGGACUUACACCCUACCUUACAGAUGAGAGCAGGGAAACCCAGAGAAGUUAAGUAAAACAAUUCUGUGUGUCCCAGCACCCAGCAAGGGGUGGAAUGGAAGCAAAGUUGGAGGCUCUUCAAAGUCUUUUUGUUUUGUUUUGUUUUUUGUUUUUGUUUUUUCCGAGACAGGGUUUCUCUGUGUAGCCCUGGCAGUCCUGGAGCUCACUCUGUAGACCAGGCUGGCCUCGAACUCAGAAAUCCACCUGCCUCUGCCUCCCAAGUGCUGGGAUGAAAGGCGUGCGCCACCACGCCAGGCUUGGCUCUUCAAAGUCUUUUCCUCACUGUGACCAAGGAACUCAAGAGCCUUUAAUCUAAGCUGAGCACAAAGGAAGGGCUGGGGUUAGGAAGAGUCCCUCCUUCCUAAACAGGAGACAGUUUUCUUAGCCCUUUUGUGUUGUGAAUUAGGAUGGGACAUCCCCCUUUAAAAACACACAGGAAGCCUUGAACUGGCUCUGGGUACAGGCUAAGGAAAUGAAUUUUAACCACUGCUUCUCAGUGGUAGAAUGUGCAGCAUGUGAGGUCCUGGGUUCCAUUCCUAACAUUGUAAAAUUCGGGGAAAAAUGCCAGUCAAUCAUUUAGUUCAGAGGCCUGUUGGGGUAAGGCUUAGGGCAGAGUCGGUGGGAGUCUUCCAAGUAGGUUGCUUUCCUGCAGGGUGAGUCGCAGUUGCCACUUAGAUGAGCAUGUGUUGUUUCAAUAGCUCUUUUUGCUCCCACUAGUAAUAGCUACAUCAGUGGACACAUUAGACCUGUGAUAGCACUGACAUUCCUGCUGGGGAGAAGCUGAAUCUUCAAACAUUU
rnacentral:lncRNA from 1 species